rnacentral:rRNA from 1 species
UAAAACCUAUUUAAAAUGGCGGCAUUUCAUCUUAUUAGAGGAACCUGUUUUUUAAUCGACAAUCCACGCUAAUUUUUACUUAAAUUAAAAAUUUAUAUACCGCCAUCUAAAAAACUAAUUUUAUGAUAAUAUUUUAAAAAAAAAAUAAAAAGUUAGGUCAAGGUGUAAUCAACAUUUAAGUAAAACAUGGGUUACUUUAAAAAUAAUUUAAGGAUCUUUAUAUAAAAAUAUCUUUUUCAAAAAGGAUUUCAAAGUAAUAUUAAAAUAAUUUUUAUAAUG